GCUCUUUUAGCUCAGUUGGUUAGAGCAUCGUGCUUAUAACGCGAAGGUCGCGAGUUCGAUCCUCGCAUAGAGCA